CCCUCUCUCAUAUUCGCGGUUUCGGUGAUGGCUCCAAGCGCACUUGUUUCGCACGUGCCCAUUUGCUGCUCUCUCUUUGGUAGAAAUAAGGGGAGAAAAAGAAGAGUUCAUGGGUAUUUUUAGCUAUUCCUAAUAACCACAGGGAUCAAAGUGUAAAUAGAAAAUGCCUGUUAUUCCGCUUUACUGCAUUUUCGUGCCAACCAAACAGAGAUGGUAAAGCCGACGAUCAUCUUAUAGGUGGCAGAGAGAACGGUAGCUAAGCGAUGGUGUUUCGAUUCGAAAGGAAAUGUUUUUUUAUUUGCUAUAUCAGUUCGAUCUCAUUUUAGAAUCCGAUCCUCGGAUUAUAAGCAAAUAUCAUGCUUAUUCUUUCCUUUCCAUGGGUUUUUACUCGGAUACAGCGAUGAAGUAUGGUUGAUUCACCCCUCUGAAUUCGCGGCUCUAAACAAAGAAGCGGGGAGUAGCGACCAACAAUUAAAAAAAAAGGGAUAUUGAGUUCAUAAAUCCUGAGGGUUAACUGCUUGGAGCAUGAAAGUGCAAAAUUUUGGAUCAGAGAUCAUAAGUUGGGAGUUUAAAUGCAUGAGCUUCUUCCACUGUAGAAAGCUGCGAAGGAUGCGUUCGUAGAUGUAAUAUAGAAUACAAGUCUCAGAAUUUUCCUGGUGCAUCUGAUGAUGAGAUUGAUUUGCAUAGGCCUUCACCUCUCGAAAGUCGAAAGUGAGGUCAUGAAAGCAUAGCAAAGCGCUUUUGUUGCUAAUUUGUGAUUUUGGCACCGCAUGGAAAUCCAGUUGCAGGCAGUGGCUGAUCAAGAUGAUUACUGGAAAAUGUCAGCUAUGCAACAGAUUGUAGGGAAAGAACCUGAGCCAGCGGAAAAAUUAGCAGAGGUUUAAAUUCAGUUCAGGAAUUGAAUACUGUUUAAUUAGUGAAGGUUCAUAACUUCUCGUAGUUUUAGUUUAAUAAAUCAUUAUAUUCUUGUAUUAGUUGCAUUUUUACUCCAUUUGACAUUGCCCUUUAGUUUCAUAACUAUUUUGAAAUUCAAUAUAUCAGUUAACAAGCUUAUGAAAUUUGUACGUUAUUUCCUAUGUCCAUCACAAUUUGAAUUCUUGCCAUAUUGCAGCUAUCAAGAAGACAAAUCUUCUGAUCACGUUGUUGAAAUUUAUCAAAUAUGGAAGGUGUAUUAAUAUUCCACAUUAUGUAAUUAUCAUCAUUUCUCUUCUUCUGAAAGCUAUUCUGCCUAUUUUUGUAUGCCUUAUGUGUGUUUGUGUGUGGCUAUUUCUUGAUACUUUUCUAGACAAAGCAUCUGAUAAUCGUCAUUUCUCUCUCACAUUUCGCAGAUAUGAGCUCGCAUAUUUUUUGCCAUAUAUAAUAUAUACAAGAGCCCAAAAUAUGUACAUAUAUGUGCAUUUAUAUUGCUAGUUAUUUCUCAAAUUCUAGUUGACAGUUUUACAUGAACAGAUUUUGCCCUGUGUUUAUUUUUAUUUGUUCUGUUAUUUGAAUCUGUUUGUCCAGAAGAUAGAGAAGGAAUAUUGUUUCUUGUAUUUUCCUAUGCUUUAUAAUUUUUUUAAAGGAUAUGACAUCGUGGAGCAAGUUCAGUCUGUGAAAAUCCUAGUGCAACCAAUAAGAAAUAAUUUCAAUUCCAGAUUUGGACUUGGUUUUUUUGGACUUCUUUAUAGCCUGGAUACAUGACAUGAGGAGCUUCCCUGGUAUGAAGAUUAAUUUAAACGUUGUAUAUGAAGGGAUGUAUUCUUGCUCUCGGACUCAGAUUUCUCUCUCUCACUUCUUUCUUUUUUUUUUGGUGACGAGAAGUGUGUAGGAUAACCAUGAUGUUCAUGACUUAUUCACAAUAUAGGCAAGAGCACACUUAUGGUUAAGUCUUAUUGGUCGUGGUAUUGCCUAGUGAUCCAAAAAGGAUUACUGGCAUUCUAUCAUUGGAAUUCACAAGCAAUAGCCCCUCAUGCUGUGAUAAUACAUUAUUGAACAUUGAAACAGUUGUUUUGGAUAUUUUCCCCCUCUAAAUCUAUUGGAGCAUUGUUGCUUUCUCUAUACUGGAUAAGGCAUUUUGCAAGUAGUCUUGUCUGAGGUCCCGCAUAGUUGAUGACAUCAAUAUCUUUUGGAUAAUGAGUUGCAUCAUAAAUUCUUGCACAACAACAGCUGACAACAAGUUUUAUGAUUUUCAAUUCUAGCACAAGCAAUAUGGUUGGUACUUGCAUGUUAUUUCUGAGAAAGGUUUGAGUGUUUCUCUUCAAUUAUCCAAUGUUGUUAAACGUUUCAUUUCUUAAGUAUUAGUUGAAUGCUUACGCCAGUGCUUUUGUGCAUCAGUAAAGUCUCCUCAGGAUAUUGAACUCAAGAAGCUAAUUGCUGGAAGCUUGAAGACAUGCUGAAUAAAGCUUGUCCUGAAAGAUCCUCACCCUGGGGCAGCUGCCUACCUGUAAGCAUCUAACCAGUGGUUGAACGAAAAUAGAUAAUAACUUUGAUAGAUAUCAGCGUCCUAAAGUUUUUGGUUGAGUUUCUUGUUGUCACUCGCUGGUUGAGGUUCUUGUUGUCGAGCGUGUGAUUUACGAGUACUUCGAUUUGGUAUAGGGAAGGGCCAUGAACAUAUGAAAUGUCCAUGUCAAUUUCUUGCAACAGGCAAUGUCUUCCUUGUUGAAUUAGCAUAUCUGUGAAUUAGAGUGGAUAGCGAAGAGCAUAAAUGAAAGAUUGCAAGUUUAAUGCUUU